AUUGAACGCUGGCGGCAUGCCUUACACAUGCAAGUCGAACGGUAACAGGUCUUCGGAUGCUGACGAGUGGCGAACGGGUGAGUAAUACAUCGGAACGUGCCUAGUAGUGGGGGAUAACUACUCGAAAGAGUGGCUAAUACCGCAUGAGAUCUACGGAUGAAAGCAGGGGAUCGCAGGACCUUGUGCUACUAGAGCGGCCGAUGGCAGAUUAGGUAGUUGGUGGGAUAAAAGCUUACCAAGCCGACGAUCUGUAGCUGGUCUGAGAGGACGAUCAGCCACACUGGGACUGAGGCACGGGCCGGACUCCUACGGGAGGCAGCAGUGGGGAAUUUUGGACAAUGGGCGCAAGCCUGAUCCAGCAAUGCCGCGUGAAGGAUGAAGGCCUUCGGGUUGCAAACUGCUUUUGUACGGAACGAAAAGCCCUGGGUUAAUACCCUGGGGUCAUGACGGUACCGUAAGAAUAAGCACCGGCUAACUACGUGCCAGCCGCCGCCGUAA
rnacentral:rRNA from 1 species